GAUGAACGCUGGCGGCGUGCCUAAUACAUGCAAGUCGAACGCUUCUUUCCUCCCGAGUGCUUGCACUCAAUUGGAAAGAGGAGUGGCGGACGGGUGAGUAACACUUGGGUAACCUACCCAUCAGAGGGGGAUAACACUUGGAAACAGGUGCUAAUACCUCAUAACAGUUUAUGCCGCAUGGCAUAAGAGUGUAAGUCGCUUUCGGGUGUCGCUGAUGGAUGGACCCGCGGUGCAUUAGCUAGUUGGUGAGGUAACGGCUCACCAAGGCCACGAUGCAUAGCCGACCUGAGAGGGUGAUCGGCCACACUGGGACUGAGACACGGUCCAGACUCCUACGGGAGGCAGCAGUAGGGAAUCUUCGGCAAUGGACGAAAGUCUGACCGAGCAACGCCGCGUGAGUGAAGAAGGUUUUCGGAUCGUAAAACUCUGUUGUUAGAGAAGAACAAGGACGUUAGUAACUGAACGUCCCCUGACGGUAUCUAACCAGAAAGCCACGGCUAACUACGUG
rnacentral:rRNA from 1 species